CCUACGGGUGGCAGCAGUGAGGAAUAUUGGUCAAUGGACGAGAGUCUGAACCAGCCAAGUAGCGUGAAGGAUGACUGCCCUAUGGGUUGUAAACUUCUUUUAUAUGGGAAUAAAAUGUUCCACGUGUGGGAUUUUGUAGGUACCAUAUGAAUAAGGAUCGGCUAAUUCCGUGCCAGCAGCCGCGGUAAUACGGAGGAUCCGAGCGUUAUCCGGAUUUAUUGGGUUUAAAGGGAGCGUAGGUGGAUUGUUAAGUCAGUUGUGAAAGUUUGCGGCUCAACCGUAACAUUGCAGUUGAAACUGGCAUUCUUGAGUACAGUAGAGGUGGGCGGAAUUCGUGGUGUAGCGGUGAAAUGCUUAGAUAUCACGAAGAACUCCGAUUGCGAAGGCAGCUCACUGGACUGCAACUGACGCUGAAGCUCGAAGGUGUGGGUAUCGAACAGGAUUAGAUACCCGGGUAGUC
rnacentral:rRNA from 1 species